UGGGGCGUGGUGAAGCGGUAACACAGCGGACUUUGGAUCCGCCAUUCGGGGGUUCGAAUCCUCCCGCCCCAGCCA
rnacentral:tRNA from 1 species